ACGGGUGAGUAAUGCCUAGGAAUCUGCCUGGUAGUGGGGGAUAACGUCCGGAAACGGGCGCUAAUACCGCAUACGUCCUACGGGAGAAAGCAGGGGACCUUCGGGCCUUGCGCUAUCAGAUGAGCCUAGGUCGGAUUAGCUAGUUGGUGAGGUAAAGGCUCACCAAGGCGACGAUCCGUAACUGGUCUGAGAGGAUGAUCAGUCACACUGGAACUGAGACACGGUCCAGACUCCUACGGGAGGCAGCAGUGGGGAAUAUUGGACAAUGGGCGAAAGCCUGAUCCAGCCAUGCCGCGUGUGUGAAGAAGGUCUUCGGAUUGUAAAGCACUUUAAGUUGGGAGGAAGGGCAGUAAGCUAAUAUCUUGCUGUUUUGACGUUACCGACAGAAUAAGCACCGGCUAACUUCGUGCCAGCAGCCGCGGUAAUACGAAGGGUGCAAGCGUUAAUCGGAAUUACUGGGCGUAAAGCGCGCGUAGGUGGUUCGUUAAGUUGGAUGUGAAAGCCCCGGGCUCAACCUGGGAACUGCAUCCAAAACUGGCGAGCUAGAGUACGGUAGAGGGUGGUGGAAUUUCCUGUGUAGCGGUGAAAUGCGUAGAUAUAGGAAGGAAC
rnacentral:rRNA from 1 species